CGUCUCAUAUAUUUUUUGCCACGCUGCCACUGGAGCCCGAGACUGCUCCACCGAAAAAGCUCCCUCCUGACUGCUCCACCGAAGAAGCGUGGAAGCGAAGCCAAGGCAGCUGAGAUGGCACAAGCCAUGGCGUCCAUGACCGGCCUCUCGCAGGGCGUGCUGCCCAGCAGGCGCGCCGCCAGCAGGGCUAGGACGGCCGUCGUCAGGGCGUCCGCCGACGGCGAGGCCGGCCGCCGCGCCGUGCUCGGGCUGGUGGCCACCGGCAUCGUCGGCAGCGUCUUCUCCCAGGCGGCGCACGCCGAGGCCGUCAAGACCAUCAAGAUCGGCCCCCCGCCGCCGCCCUCCGGUGGACUUCGUGAGUGCCUGCCUUGCCUGCACCUCAGAAUUGAUGUGUAGCUUCAAUUCCAUAAACUUGCGUCCGCAUCUUCUAGGUACCAUAUAGUAUAAGAUUAUAAGAUUUUGAUUAUUUUUUCAAGAUCUGUAUUUCCUCAAAAAAAAAAAGGCAUCAACCUCUGCAUUUCUUGAACAAAUUAAAAAUGGUGUCGACCCUUAACGAUCAUUGAUAGUAAAGCAUAGCCACUGAUCCAGAGUGAAAAAACCAGAUGUACAAGCAGAUUAUUUUGUGCAAAAUUAGCGCUAUAACUCUCGGAGCACCGCGUGAUUGUGGAACAAAUCCGUCUAACGCAUCUGCUUCUAAUUUACCAUGGCGCAGCCGGGACCUUGAACUCUGACCAGGCCAGGGACUUCGACCUCGCCUUGAAGGAGCGGUUCUACCUGCAGCCGCUGCCGCCGGCGGAAGCCGCGGCGAGGGCCAAGUCGUCGGCGCAGGACAUCCUCAACCUCAAGCCGCUCAUCGACAAGAAGGCGUGGCCGUACGUCAUGAACGACCUCCGCCUCCGAGCCUCCUACCUGCGCUACGACCUCAACACCGUCAUCGCCUCCAAACCCAAGGAUGAGAAGAAGAGCCUCAAGGAGCUCACCGGCAAGCUCUUCAGCACCAUCGACGAU
rnacentral:lncRNA from 1 species